UAUAAAUUGAAUACUCCAUUAGCUUUAUUAGGGAUUUCAAUUUCAUUUAUCUAACAAUUUACUGACUAGAACAGAGUAAAUCCCUAGCUCGAGGAUAUUGACAUCAAGCAUUGUUUGGAAUAAGUGAGGGUUGAGAAGGAUUGGAGUAAUGAGGGUUGAAGUGAAGGAUUAAGUGGUAGGUAAAAAUAGAGAGCUUGAGGAACUACAAACUGAUAAGAAUAUAACAGAAUUUCAGGUUAAUGCCGCGGCACCCUAAAGUAGUAUUUGGAGGGUAAAAAUGUUGCUGCCGUGAAUCUAUGAUUGGGGGAGAUAGAGUCACUAGUUUGUUCCAUUUUAGAUGAAUGAAUGCAUUUGCUGAAAAUAAAGCUCAACAAAGAGGAAACGUGAAAGGCAAAGUGGACUCAUGAAGAGAUAAAGCAAUAAACUACAAUGUAAAGAAAGAAAUUACCCACCUUCUGACUGGUCUGUUCUCGAUCACUUCUUGUCACAGAGGUUUAAUAUCUAGAAAGGAGGUUGAACGUUGUUACUGUAAGAAGUUAGAUCGGCCAUCAUUCAACCAACCAUCUCAUUAGGAAACAGCACUAAACUGUACUGACCAACUACAACAGAGAAUCCCUAAACUGUAAACUGUAAGAAGUUAUAUCGGCCAUCAUUCAACCAACCAUCACAUUAGGAAACGGCACUAAACUGUACUGACCAACUACAACAGAGAAUCCCUAGCUUGAGGUUGAGAAGGAUUGGGGUUGUAUUAAAGGCUAAAGUUGGAUUUGGAGGGUAAAAAUGUUGCAGCCAUGAAGCUAUCUAUGGUUGGGGGAGGCAGAGUCACUGGUUUGUUCCAUUGUGAGUUGCUCUAUCGUGUGGUUAAGUGAAAGAUAAAGUGGACUCAUUGAAAGAUGAAGCCAUAAACUGCAGUGUAAAGAAAGAACUUACCCACCUUCUGACAGGUCUGUUCUCGAUCACUCUUUUCACAGAGGUUUAAUAUCUACAUGGAGGUUGAACACUGUUAGUGUAAGAAAUUAGAUCUGCCAUCAACCAUCACACUGGCAACCACCACGUAACAGGGCUGACCUGGGCACCUAACCACAAGAGUAAAUCCCUAGCUCGAGGAUAUUGACAUCAAGCAUUGUUUGGAAUAAGGGAGGGUUGAGAAGGAUUGGAGUAAGGAGGGUUGAAGUGAAGGUUUAAUUGGUAGGUAAAAAUAGAGAGCUUGAGGAACUACAAACUGAUAAGAAUAUAACUGAAUUUCAGGUUUAUGCCGCGGCACCCUAAAGUAGGAUUUGGAGGGUAAAAAUGUUGCAGCCAUGAAUCUAUGAUUGCGGGAGAUAGAGUCACUAGUUUGUUCCAUUUUAGAUGAAUGAAUGCAUUUGCUGAAAAUAAACUACAAUGUAAAGAAAGAAAUUACCCACCUUCUGACUGGUCUGUUCUCGAUCAGUUCUUGUCACAGAGGUUUAAUAUCUAGACAAGGAGGUUGAACGUUGUUAGAGAAGUUAAUCACAGAGUUAACGUUGUCACAGAGUUAGAUCGGCCAUCAUUCAACCAUCCAUCACAUUAGGAAACAACACUAAACUGUACUAACCAACUACAACAGAGAAUCCCUAGUUUGAGGUUGAGAAGAAUUGGGGUUGUAUUAAAGGCUAAAGUUGGAUUUGGAGGGUAAAAAUGUUGCAGCCAUGAAGCUAUCUAUGGUUGGGGGAGGCAGAGUCACUGGUUUGUUCCAUUGUGAGUUGCUCUAUCGUGUGGUUAAGUGAAAGAUAAAGUGGACUCAUUGAAAGAUGAAGCCAUAAACUGCAGUGUAAAGAAAGAACUUACCCACCUUCUGACAGGUCUGUUCUCGAUCACUCUUUUCACAGAGGUUUAAUAUCUACAUGGAGGUUGAACACUAUUAGUGUAAGAAAUUAGAUCUGCCAUCAACAUGGAGGUUGAUCACUGUUAGUGUAAGAAAUUAGAUCUGCCAUCAACCAUCACACUGGCAACCACCACGUUACAGUGCUGACCUGGGCACCUAACCACAAGAGUAAAUCCCUAGCUCGAGGAUAUUCACAUCAAGCAUUGUUUGGAAUAAGGGAAGGUUGAGAAGGAUUGGAGUAAGCUGAGAAGAAUGAAUGCAUUUGCUGAAAAUAAAGCUCAACAAAGAGGAAACGUGAAAGGCAAAGUGGACUCAUGAAGAGAUAAAGCAAUAAACUACAAUGUAAAGAAAGAAAUUGCCCACCUUCUGUCUGGUCUGUUCUCGAUCACUUCUUAUCACAGAGGUUUAAUAUCUAGACAAGGAGGUUGAACGUUGUUAGUGUAAGAAGUUAGAUUGGUCAUCAUUCAACCAACCAUUACAUUAGGAACCAGCACUAAACUGUACUGACCAACUACAACAGAGAAUCCCUAGCUUGAGGUUGAGAAGGAUUGGGCCUGAAAAUUCACAGAGGUUGAACACUGUUAGUGUAAGAAGUUAGAUCUGCCAUCAACCAUCACACUGGCAACCACCACGUAACAGGGCUGACCUGAGCACCUAACCACAAGAGUAUUUCCCUUGCUCGAGGAUAUUCACAUCAAGCAUUGUUUGGAAUAAGGGAAGGUUGAGAAGGAUUUGAGUAAGGAGGUUGAAGUGAAGGUUUAAGUGGUAGGUAAAAAUAGAGAGCUUGAGGAACUACAAACUGAUAAGAAUAUAACAGGAUUUCAGGUUAAUGCCACGGCUUCCUAAAGUAGGAUUUGGAGGGUAAAAAUGUUGCAGCCAUGAAUCCAUGAUUGGGGGAGAUAGAGUCACUAGUUUGUUCCAUUUUAGACGAAUGAAUGCAUUUGCUGAAAAAAAAAGCUCAGCAAAGAGGAAAAGUGAAAGGCAAAGUGGACUCAUGAAGGGAUAAAGCAAUAAACUACAAUGUAAAGAAAGAAAUUACCCACCCUUCUGACUGGUUGUAUUAAAGGCUAAAGUUGGAUUUCGAGGGUAAAAAUGUUGCUGCCAUGAAGCCAUAAACCGCAGUAAAAUGAACGAAAUUACCCACCUUCUGACAGGUCUGUUCUCAAUCACUCUUUUCACAGCGGUUUAAUAUCUACAUGGAGGUUGAACACUGUUAAUGUAAGAAGUUAGAUCUGCCAUCAACCAUCACACUGGCAACCACCAUGUAACAGGGCUGACCUGAGUACCUAACCACAAGAGUAUAUCCCUAGCUGGAGGAUAUUCACAUCAAGCAUUGUUUGGAAUAAGGGAAGGCUGAGAAGGAUUGGAGUAAGCAGGUUGAAGUGAAGGUUUAAGUUGUAGGUAAAAAUAGAGAGCUUGAGGAAUUACAAACUGAUAAGAAUAUAACAGAGACGAAUGAUUGCAUUUGCUGGAUAUAAUGCUCAACAAAGAGGAAAAGUGACAGGCAAAGUGGACUCAUGAAGAGAUAAAGCAAUAAACUACAAUGUAAAGAAAGAAAUUACCCACCUUCUGACUGGUCUGUUCUCGAUCACUUCUUGUCACAGAGGUUUAAUAUCUAGACAAGGAGGUUGAACGUUGUUAGUGUAAGAAGUCAGAUCGGCCAUCUAACCAACCAUCACAUUAGGAACCAGCACUAAACUGUACUGAGCAACUACAACAGAGAAUCCCUAGCUUCCGGUUGAGAAGGAUUGGGGUUUGUUCUCAAUCACUCUUUUCCCAGAGGUUUAAUAUCUCCAUGGAGGUUGAACACUGUUAGUGUAAGAAGUUAGAUCUGCUGUCAACCACCACGUAACAGGGCUGACCUGAGCACCUAACCACAAGAGUAUAUCCCUAGCUCGAUGAUAUUCACAUCAAGCAUUGUUUGGAAUAAGGGAACGUUGAGAAGGAUUGGAGUAAGCAGGUUGAAGUGAAGGUUAAGUGGGAGGUAAAAAUAGGGAGCUUGAGGAAUUACAAUCUGAUAUAGAAUACAACAGAGACAAAUGAAUGCAUUUGCUGAAAAUAAAGCUCAACAAAGAGGAAAAGUGAAAGGUAAAGUGGAUUCCCAUUGAAAGAUGAAGCCAUAACUGCAGUGUAAAGAAAGAAAUUACCCACCUUCUGACAGGUUGAACACUGUUAGUGUAAGAAGUUAGAUCCGCUAUCAACCAUCACAUUAGCAACCACCAAGUAACAGGACUGGGUUGAGCACCUAACCACAAGAGUAUCCGUAGCUCGACGAUAAUCACAUUAAGCAUUGUUUGGAACAAGGAAAGGUUGAGAAGGAUGGGAGUAAGCAGCACUAAACUGUACUGACCAACUACAACAGAGAAUCCCUAGCCUUGAGGUUGAGAAGGAUGGGGUUGUAUUAAAGGCCUAAGUUGGAUUUGGAAGAUAAAAAUGUUGCAGCCAUGAAGCUCUAUGGUUGGGGGAGGCAGAGUCACUGGUUUGUUCCAUUGUGAGUUGCUCUCUCUUGUGGUUAACUGAAAGAUUAAGUGGACUCAAUGAAAGAUGAAGCCAUAAACUUCAGUGUAAAGAAAGAAAUUACUCACCUUCUGACAGGUCUGUUCUCGAUCACUCUUUUCACAGAGAUUUAAUAUCUACAUGGAGGUUGAACACUGUUAGUGUAAGAAAUUAGAUCUGCCAUCAACCAACCAUCACACUGGCAACCACCACGUAACAGUGCUGACCUGAGCACCUAACCACAAGAGUAUAUCCCUAGCUCGAGGAUAUUCACAUCAAGCAUUGUUUGGAAUAAAGGAAGGUUGAGAAGGAUUGGACUAAGCAGGUUGAAGUGAAGGUUGGUAGGUAAAAAUAGAGAGCUUGAGGAACUAAAACUAGAGAGCUUGAGGAACUACAAACUGAUAAGAAUAUAACAGAGACGAAUGAAUGCAUUUGCUGAAAAUAAAGCUCAACAAAGAGGAAAAGUGAAAGGCAGAGUGGACUCAUGAAGAUAAAGCAAUAAACUUCAAUGUAAAGAAAGAAAUUACCCACCUUCUGACUGAUAAAGUAAUUGAUUAAUUGGCCCAAGAGAAUUGCCUAUACACUGUUCCUCUUCAUGAUUAACAUCUCUAUUUGUAUUCUCUUACAAAUUUAUUUAUUUUGUCAUAAUACUUCGUGAUGGGGUUAUAGUGAAUUAUGCACUUUUACUAACUUGAAAAUUCAAGUAUUGUAGGAGGUUUAAUAUCUAGACAAGGAGGUUGAACGUUGUUAGUGUAAGAAGUUAGAUCGGUCAUCAUUCAACCAACCAUCACAUUAGGAACCAGCACUAAACUGUACUUGACCAACUAGAACAGAGAAUCCCUAGCUUGAGGUUGAGAAGGAUUGGGGUAAGCAGUUAAAUGUUGUGGUUUGUUAUCCUGGUUUAUAAGUUAUUAUUUUUCUGUGUUUGUUUUGUUUUGGGCUGGGAAAGAAGGGGCAGUGGAAUAGGUCACUUAAAUAGGUGUUUUCUUAAAUCCAGUUGAUUGCAUAUAGUAUAUGAUGUUCUGCUUUAUAUAAUUGAUCAGGUUGUAUUAAAGGCUAAAGUAGCAUUUGGAGGGUAAAAAUGAUUAGUUUCUUCUAUAUUUGUAUUUUCUUAAUACUCGUGAUGGGGUUAUAGUGUACUUUUACAGUUUUACUAACCUGAAAAUUCAAGUAUUGUGUAGGUUUGUUCUCGAUCACUCUUUUCACAGAGGUUUAAUAUCCACAUGGAGGUUGAACACUGUUAGUGUAAGAAGUUAGAUCUCAACCAUCACACUAGCAACCGCCACGUAACAGGGCUGACCUGAGCACCAAACCACAAUGUAUCACAUCGCCUUUUUAAUGCUUUUGAACAUGUUGCUCCGCACUCUUCCAAUAUAAAUAGAAUACUCCAUUAGCUUAUUAGGGAUUUCAAUUUCAUUUAUCUAACAAUUUACCGACUAGAACAGAGUAUAUCCCUAGCUCGGGGAUAUUCACAUCAAGCAUUGUUUGGAAUAAGCGAAGGUUGAGAAGGAUUGGAGUAAGCAGGUUGAAGUGAAGGUUAAGUGGGAGGUAAAAAUAGAGAGCUUGAGGAAUUACAAUUUGAUAUAGAAUACAACAGUUAAAUGCCGGCACCCUGAAGUAUGAUUUGGAGGGUAAAAAUGUUGCAGCCAUGAAUCUAUGAUUGGGGGAGAACAGUCGCUGGUUUUUAUUCCGUUCUCAACAAAGAGGAAAAGUGAAAGGUAAAGUGGACUCAUUGAAAGAUGAAGCCAUAACUGCAGUGUAAAGAAAGAAAUUACCCACCUUCUGACAGGUCUUUUCUCAGGUUGAACACUGUUAGUGUAAGAAGUUAGAUCCGCUAUCAACUAUCACAUUAGCAACCACCACGUAACAGGACUGGGCUGAACACCUAACUACAAGAGUAUCCGUAGCUCGAGGAUAUUCACAUCAAGCAUUGUUUGUAAUAGGGAAGGUUGAGAAGGAUGGGACUAAGCAGAGACGAAUGAAUGCAUUUGCUGAAAAUAAAGCUCAACAAAGAGGAAAAGUGAAAGUUAAAGUGGGCUGAUUGAAAGAUGAAGCCAUAAACUGCAGUGUAAAGAAAAGAAAUUACCCACCUUAUGACAGGUUUGUUCUCGAUCACUCUUUUCACAGAGGCUUAAUAUCUACGCAAGGAGGAUCUGCCAUCAACCAUCACAUUAGCAACCACCACGUAUCAGGGCUGACCUUAGCACCUAACCACAAGAAUACAUAGCUUGAGGAUAUUCACAUCAAGCAUUGCUAGGAAUAAGGGAAGGUUGAGAAGGAUUGCAGUGAGCAGAAUACAUAGCUUGAGGAUAUUCACAUCAAGCAUUGCUAGGAAUAAGGGAAGGUUGAGAAGGAUUGCAGUGAGCAGGCGAGGGUUGCCGAGCUGUUGAGGGAUUAGAUACGGCACACCAAGACAUUCGAAUGCGACUCAAGGAAACUUAUAGUUCUAGUUCGGCGGGCACCGGACAACCAAGCUAGCGAGGGAAACAUCAUUGAGAGGGAGAGAUGCCGCAAGGAGGCAUCGAGGAUACCAGAGGUGGAAUUCAUGCACACCGCUUUCCCAUUCGAUCGGAUAUCAUAUGCUCACCGAGCCUCCUAGUGAUAUUUAGAAGAAGUAAUCAGAUAUGACGAAAUAGGGCACCUUUGAACUUUGGGUUCCCCCUCCUAAAUACAAUCGACAUACUUUCACUUCAUUAAUUAAAAGUAUAAUUAUAUUUCUCCAAAACCCCACUCGUGUAAUAUAAAAACUAGAUCGAAUUGUCGCUGUACUUUAAA